GGACAAGGACACAUGACGCUCGUGUUUUGGACUCAGUCAUCCUCUGUCUACAGGCAACACACACACACACAGCUAGCAUCCAUCAAACGCAUCUGCCCGUCUUCACACCUGCUCGCAAAGCAUCAUGGGAAAAGGCGCAGGGGAGGAGUGGGAGGAGAAGUAUCCGGAGGACGACAACCACUCCGACGUGGUUGAUUCCCAGCCCAAAAAGUCCAAGAAGAAGGAUAAGGAAGAGUCCAAAGGGGGAUGUCCCAAGUGCUGUCUGAAGACCAGGGACUGUCUCAUGAGCCCGGAGUGUGGACGAGCGCUGCAGAUCUCCCAAGUGGUGGCCAUGUGCGGGAUGUGUCUGCGCUGGUGUUUCUAAUCUAAUCUCGGAUGGGGUCAACUCAUCUCCACGCGUUGCCAUGGUGAUCAGGAGGAAGAAACUCAACCUUCAGCCCUAUUUACGAACAUGAUUAAUACAAGCGUCAAAUUGACUUAUUUUUUCACACGGUAUUUAUUUCAUUUGGUUAUCUAAGCCGCUCUGUACAGUGUAAGUAGGACUAACCCGACGAAGGAACAAUCUAGUAUUGGUGAAUUAGUGGCAUGUUCCAACUUUGACUCAUUGAUGUUACCUGAACAAAUGUACAUAGUGUUUUAUAGACUUUAAUAAAAUGAUUAUACUUAAAGAA